AGUGAACGCUGGCGGUAGGCCUAACACAUGCAAGUCGAACGGCAGCACAGUAAGAGCUUGCUCUUACGGGUGGCGAGUGGCGGACGGGUGAGGAAUACAUCGGAAUCUACUUUUUCGUGGGGGAUAACGUAGGGAAACUUACGCUAAUACCGCAUACGACCUACGGGGGAAAGCAGGGGAUCUUCGGACCUUGCGCGAUUGAAUGAGCCGAUGUCGGAUUAGCUAGUUGGCGGGGUAAAGGCCCACCAAGGCGACGAUCCGUAGCUGGUCUGAGAGGAUGAUCAGCCACACUGGAACUGAGACACGGUCCAGACUCCUACGGGAGGCAGCAGUGGGGAAUAUUGGACAAUGGGCGCAAGCCUGAUCCAGCCAUACCGCGUGGGUGAAGAAGGCCUUCGGGUUGUAAAGCCCUUUUGUUGGGAAAGAAAAGCAGCGGUUAAUACCCCGCUGUUCUGACGGUACCCAAAGAAUAAGCACCGGCUAACUUCGUG
rnacentral:rRNA from 1 species